GAUAUACCCUAAAACUGAAGGGAAUUCCCUUUGGAUCCUCAUGCUAGAAUGUCCCAACAAGGGGAUUUCUCCCAGUGAAGAAUUUCAUCUUGCCCCCAUAGGGAGUGAAAACCCUCGGCAAUGCUUCUGCUGGCCUGGGCAGAAUUCAGCUGAACCAAGGGAACUAUCUGGAAUUCUCAUAUGGCAGCUCAGAGUUGCUGUUAGUCUGUGAUGCUUCUAGUUUAGCUCUAAUAGGCAUUGUGAUGAUUUAUUCCAGCUGCUCAGCUCACUCUGGAGUCAACAGGAAUCUUCAUAUAGUUUACUAUGGCAUUGGCUAGAAGCUUUGUCUUUGGUGCGAGACCUAAAGCACAAUUGACCUGGGGUGCUGGCUUCGUACAAAGAGCUGCAGUUUAGCAACUAUGGAUGCUGAUGUGGCUAUUCAGAUUUCAUGCUGAAGACAAAGGCAGGUCUCCCCAUCUGAGAAAGGCUGCAGUUUGUAGGAGCUGGGUGGGGAUUCCACCAGCUGCUGAAGGCCAUCAGGCUGAUGUGCAUGGCUGCACCUGUACAUAUGGAAUCUCAUGGAACCUGAAGAGAGCUUGUUUUUGCCUAAAACACGAAUAUUUACAUUUGUAUCUCUCUGCAUUUCAACUGUGUACACCUGGGAUAGUCAUUUCCAGAGUUACUAAUCCUUAUGCUUCAAGAUCUGAAUUACUACCUUGGAUCAGGGAGGAAUUUACACCCUCAUGGCAUAAUAUCCUGCUAAGGGCUUUGUGGGAUUUAGUCUUUAUUCAGAGUAUCAGCCAUUGGCCAGAGCCUAAGACAGUGGAUCAGAUCCUCAGUGGGCCUAAACCAACAUUGUUCCCCUGACUUCAAUGGAGCAAUGCUGAUUUACACCAAUUCAGGACCUGACACAGAAUCUACAAUCUAUGCGCCUGGUCUAGCAGUUCCUCACCACCUCACAUUCCAGCAGCAUGAAUGAUCAUUUAGUAGGCACUUUGUUUCUUACUGUCAUGGCUUCAGCGCUCUGUUGGAUGGGCACAAAAGGGCAGAGGGCAACUGCAGAGCACAAAGAUGACAAAAUAAAAUAGGGAGAACCUGUGGGCUGUUAGGAUCCUAAUGGAGAGCCCUGUGACAAAAUGCAAUCAGACAGAAAGGACAGAUGUAAAGUAAGCUACAUAGGUGAAAAUGUUCACUUUAAACUGUCAGCAUUAAUUUAAGCCAAACUUAAUUAAAAAAAAAUAAACCAGAACAGCUGGAUCUAGGAAACGGUUGAUUGACCUCAGCAUUGGCCAUUUUCCUUUUCUCCUCUUAAACCACUGUUCAUCAGCUUCCACUUAAAGCAAACUAGAGCUGUCAGGCUAACCACAAUCAAAACCAGUGGGUUUGCGUCCAUAUAUUAUUUCUCUGCAUAUUAUUUGACGUGCAUUAAGAAAAAGCACAAAGCAUGACUUAAAAAUCUUUCCUCUCCAUGUAAAAAAGUGCUGUGUUGUGCUGCUUGAGUGGAAGUCCUACCAAAAUAAUUUA